rnacentral:rRNA from 1 species
AUUGAACGCUGGCGGCAGGCCUAACACAUGCAAGUCGAGCGGAUGAAGGGAGCUUGCUCCUGGAUUCAGCGGCGGACGGGUGAGUAAUGCCUAGGAAUCUGCCUGGUAGUGGGGGAUAACGUCCGGAAACGGGCGCUAAUACCGCAUACGUCCUGCGGGAGAAAGUGGGGGAUCUUCGGACCUCACGCUAUCAGAUGAGCCUAGGUCGGAUUAGCUAGUUGGUGGGGUAAAGGCCUACCAAGGCGACGAUCCGUAACUGGUCUGAGAGGAUGAUCAGUCACACUGGAACUGAGACACGGUCCAGACUCCUACGGGAGGCAGCAGUGGGGAAUAUUGGACAAAGGGCGAAAGCCUGAUCCAGCCAUGCCGCGUGUGUGAAGAAGGUCUUCGGAUUGUAAAGCACUUUAAGUUGGGAGGAAGGGCAGUAAGUUAAUACCUUGCUGUUUUGACGUUACCAACAGAAUAAGCACCGGCUAACUUCGUG